UACGAAGGGGGCUAGCGUUGUUCGGAUUUACUGGGCGUAAAGCGCACGUAGGCGGAUUGUUAAGUGAGAGGUGAAAUCCCGGAGCUCAACUCCGGAACUGCCUUUCAUACUGGCAAUCUAGAGUCCGGAAGAGGUGAGUGGAACUCCUAGUGUAGAGGUGGAAAUUCGUAGAUAUUAGGAAGAACACCAGUGGCGAAGGCGGCUCACUGGUCCGGUACUGACGCUGAGGUGCGAAAGCGUGGGGAGCAACAGG
rnacentral:rRNA from 1 species